rnacentral:lncRNA from 10 species
GUGAAUUUCAAAGUUACUCAGCCAGAGAUGGGUCAUGUUAGUCUCACCGUUAUAUUUGCCAUGACCUUAAAUUAGGGCUUUCUCAUAAAAAGUACUUAAUCAACACGUAUUGAAUAAAACAAAUGUGUUGGGACCAGGCGCGGUGGUUCACACCUGUAAUUCCAGUACAUUAAGAGGCUGAGGCAGGUGUGAGCCACCUCGUCUGGCCCAUUUAUUUUCAUUGCUUUGUAACUUUCCUUUCCUUGAAUAUCUCACAAUGUAUUCAUUCUACCUUGGACAGACAUUUGCAUUGUUUCCAGUUUGUCUAUUAUGAAUCUUGCUGCUGUGAACAUUCUUGUCUAUUAUGAAUCUUGCUGCUGUGAACAUUGGUGCACGUUAUGCAUAUCUGUUGGAGAUGUAGGGAGGAGUACCAUUGCUCGGUCACAAAGCAUGAACACAUUCAGCUUGGGUAGUCUUGGCAUGCAGUUUUCCACCUUAGUUGUACCAAUCUACCUUCUAUUAGCUGUUGUGCUUUUGUUUUUUGCCUUACUCAUUUUUAUGCCCUAACAGACCCCCAAUAACAGUGGCCUUUGUGACCCCCAGACAAGCGGCUUUCUAA